rnacentral:rRNA from 1 species
UACGUAGGGGGCUAGCGUUGUCCGGAUUAUUGGGCGUAAAGAGCGUGUAGGCGGCCAGGUAGGUCUGCUGUGAAAACUCGAGGCUCAACCUCGAGACGUCGGCGGAAACCAUCUGGCUAGAGUCCGGAAGAGGAGAGUGGGAUUCCUGGUGUAGCGGUGAAAUGCGCAGAUAUCAGGAAGAACACCCGUGGCGAAGGCGGCUCUCUGGGACGGUACUGACGCGAGACGCGAAAGCGUGGGGAGCGAACAGG